GACGAACGCUGGCGGCGUGCUUAACACAUGCAAGUCGAACGAAGUGGCGAACGGGUGAGUAACGCGUAAUCAACCUGCCCUUCAGAGGGGGACAACAGUUGGAAACGACUGCUCAUAACGCAUCCUGAAGGAGGGGAUUGCGUCUGAUUAGCUGGUUGGAGGGGUAACGGCCCACCAAUGCGAUGAUCAGUAGCCGGUCUGAGAAGAUGAACGGCCACAUUGUGACUGAGACACGGCCCAGACUCCUACGGGAGGCAGCAGUGGGGAUGCUGCCGCAAUGGACGAAAGUCUGACGGAGCAACGCCGCGUGAGUGAUGACGGCCUUCGGGUUGUAAAGCUCUGUUAAUCGGGACGCGGUACCGGAAUAGAAAGCCACGGCUAACUACGUGCCAGCAGCCGCGGUAAUUC
rnacentral:rRNA from 1 species